AACGAACGCUGGCGGCGUGGAUAAGACAUGCAAGUCGAACGGGACCAGGUUUGUAGUAAUACCGACUUGGUUCAGUGGCGAACGGGUGCUUAACACGUGGGCAACCUGCCAGGAAGUGGGGGACAGCUCGCCGAAAGGCGGAUUAAUACCGCAUGUGAUCAGAGAGGACAUCCUUUCGAAAUUAAAGUCGGGGCAACCUGACGCUUCUUGUGGGGCCCGCGGCCUAUCAGCUAGUUGGUGAGGUAACGGCUCACCAAGGCUUUGACGGGUAGCUGGUCUGAGAGGACGACCAGCCACACUGGGACUGAGACACGGCCCAGACACCUACGGGUGGCAGCAGUCGAGAAUUUUUGACAAUGGGGGGAAACCCUGAUCGAGCGACGCCGCGUGGAGGAUGAAGGUCUUCGGAUUGUAAACUCCUGUCAUUGGGGAACAAUGCGCAAAUAUUAACUGUAUUUGUGUUGGUAGUACCCGAAGAGGAAGAGACGGCUAACUCUGUGCCAGCCGCCGCGGUAACAC
rnacentral:rRNA from 1 species